rnacentral:rRNA from 1 species
GAGCGGUAUUGUUUCUUCGGAAACGAGAGAGCGGCGCACGGGUGCGGAACACGUGUGCAACCUGCCUUUAUCUGGGGGAUAGCCUUUCGAAAGGAAGAUUAAUACCCCAUAAUAUUUUGAAUGGCAUCAUUUAAAAUUGAAAACUCCGGUGGAUAGAGAUGGGCACGCGCAAGAUUAGAUAGUUGGUAGGGUAACGGCCUACCAAGUCAGUGAUCUUUAGGGGGCCUGAGAGGGUGAUCCCCCACACUGGUACUGAGGCACGGACCAGACUCCUACGGGAGGCAGCAGUGAGGAAUAUUGGACAAUGGGUGAGAGCCUGAUCCAGCCAUCCCGCGUGAAGGACGACGGCCCUAUGGGUUGUAAACUUCUUUUGUACAGGGAUAAACCUUUCCACGUGUGGAAAGCUGAAGGUACUGUACGAAUAAGCACCGGCUAACUCCGUG